GACUAGACAUAGGGAUGCCUCGUGGUGGUUAAUGAAAAUUAACUUACUACGGGGCUAUCUUCUUUCUGCCACACAACACGGUAACAAACCACCUUCACGUCAUGAG
rnacentral:misc_RNA from 1 species